CCCUUAGAUGUUCUGGGCCGCACGCGCGCUACACUGACGGAGUCAACGAGUUGUCCUACAUCGGAAGGUGUGGGUAAUCUUUUGAAACUUCGUCGUGCUGGGGAUAGAUCUUUGCAAUUUUCGAUCUUGAACGAGGAAUUCCUAGUAAGCGUGAUUCAUCAGAUCGCGUUGAUUACGUCCCUGCCCUUUGUACACACCGCCCGUCGCUACUACCGAUUGAAUGGUUUAGUGAGGCCUCGGGACUGGCGCGCUCGAGUAGCAAUACACCUGCGCGCCGGGAACUUGGUCAAACUUGAUCAUUUAGAGGAAGUAAAAGUCGUAACA
rnacentral:rRNA from 1 species